rnacentral:lncRNA from 8 species
AUGGAUGCAGUCUAUCACAGUGCCAUCCGUUUUGUCACCAAAUCCCCAUAUACCACCCACCACUGCGACCUGUAUUAUCUCGUUGGCUGGCCCUCGCUUCAUACUCGUCGCCAAACCCACUGGCUCCAGGUCGUCUACAAGACCCUGCUAGGUAAAGUCCCCCCUUAUCUCAGCUCGCUGGUCACCAUAGCAGCACCCACCUGUAGCACGCGCNNNNNNNNNNNNNNNNNNNNNNNNNNNNNNNNNNNNNNNNNNNNNNNNNNGCUACAGCCGAUUCUGUGCAGCAGCGACGUCAGUAUCGCAGGCAGAAUCGGGAAACGUCUUCAGAGGCUGGAUCAUCAUCAUCGUCAGAGGGUGAGGGGUCCAAGAGGCCGGGCGGGGGGCCAGUGGCGAGGAACGGGGAUGUCAGGAGGCGGCGUAGUCACUCGCCCUCCUCCCCCAGGAGACGACACCGGGACGGCUCCCCCAGAAAAAGGCGCUCUCCUUCCCCCGGAGGACGCAGAUCUCCCCCAAGACGUCGCAGAUCUCCCUCUCCUCCUCCUAGGCGCAGGUAAAAGACUUAACGCCGCCUUGNNNNNNNNNNNNNNNNNNNNCUCUGCUACCAAUGACUGGAACGAACUACAAAAAUCUCUGAAACUGGAAACACUUAUCUCCCUCACUAGCUUUAAGCACCAGCUGUCAGAGCAGCUCACAGAUUACUGCACCUGUACAUAGCCCAUCUAUAAUUUAGCCCAAACAACUUCCUCUUCCCCUACUGUAUUUAUUUAUUUUGCUCCUUUGCACCCCAUUAUUUCUAUUUCUACUUUGCACUUUCUUCCACUGCAAAUCUACCAUUCCAGUGUUUUACUUGCUAUAUUGUAUUUACUUCACCACCAUGGCCUUUUUUUGCCUUUACCUCCCUUAUUUCACCUAAUUUGCUCACAUUGUAUAUAGUCUUAUUUUUCUACUGUAUUAUUGACUGUAUGUUUGUUUUACUCCAUGUGUAACUCUGUGUUGUUGUAUGUGUCGAACUGCUUUGCUUUAUCUUGGCCAGGUCGCAAUUGUAAAUGAGAACUUGUUCUCAACUUGCCUACCUGGUUAAAUAAAGGUGAAAUAAAAAAAAUAAAAAAUAAAAAGACUGCUGGAAAAGCAUUCCUCAUGAAGCUGGUUGAGAGAAUGCCAAGAGUGUGCAAAGCUGUCAUCAAGGCAAAGGGUGCCUACUUUGAAGAAUCUAAAAUCUAAAAUCUAUCUAGAUUUGUUUAACACUUUUUUGGUUACUACAUGAUUCCAUAUGUGUUAUUGCAUAGCUUUGAUGUCUUCACUAUCAUUCAAACAUUUUGAAAAUUGUAAAAAUAAAGACAAAUUCUUGAAUGAGUAGGUGUGUCCAAACUAUUGACUCGUACUGUAUAUACAUUUUUAACAUAAUGCCACUUUGACAGUUAAACUAAGGCCAUGAGUCAUUUAU